UACGUAGGUGGCAAGCGUUGUCCGGAUUUACUGGGCGUAAAGAGCGCGCAGGCGGUCUUUUAAGUCGAAUGUGAAAGCCCCCGGCCUCAACUGGGGAGGGUCAUUCGAUACUGAUCGACUUGAAGGCAGGAGAGGGUCGCGGAAUUCCCGGGUGUAGAGGUGAAAUUCGUAGAGUAUACUCGGGAGGAACACCCGGUUGGCGAAGGCGGCAGAUCCCUGGGGA
rnacentral:rRNA from 1 species